CCUACGGGUGGCAGCAGUGAGGAAUAUUGGUCAAUGGGCGUAAGCCUGAACCAGCCAAGUCGCGUGCGGGAUGAAGGUUCUAUGGAUCGUAAACCUCUUUUAUAAGGGAAUCAAGUGCGGGACGUGUCCAGUUUUGUAUGUACCUUAUGAAUAAGGCUCGGCUAACUACGUGCCAGCAGCCGCGGUAAUACGGAGGAUCCGAGCGUUAUCCGGAUUUGUUGGGUUUAAAGGGUGCGUAGGCGGCUUUUUAAGUCAGCGGUGAAAGUCUGUGGCGCAACCAUAGAAUUGCCGUUGAAACUGGGAGCCUUGAGUAUGUUUGAGGCAGGCGGAAUGCGUGGUGUAGCGGUGAAAUGCUUA
rnacentral:rRNA from 1 species